UAAGGAAAUAAAAAUGUUUAGUGAACCGGCAGCCGCUACCCGCGCGCGGCCGGUA
rnacentral:ncRNA from 1 species